rnacentral:lncRNA from 10 species
UAUGAGAGAGAGAAGAAACCUUUGGUGGUGCACAGGGAUUUGAAUUCAGGGAAACUGAAGAUUCUUAGAAGACAGAAACAGCUCCAUUUUGCAAAGAGCUCUGCAAACCAGGGAUGCAAAGGUCCCUCGGAUUCCAGAUAACUGUUCUUAGAACCAUGUCAUCUGCUGGUCUAGCACAGAGUCUGCCAGUCUCUAGGACAGCUCAUCCCUUUUCCUUUGCACAGUGGUUGUUCAGUUUAUGCACAUGGGUUUCUGCGUUUCUACAUGGUUUGGGUGUGUGCGCUUUUCCCAGAUCAGGGAGGAGGGAUGGUGGGAGGGGGAACACACAGCAGCACAAGUGUCUGUGUUUGUGUUUCAAGCUGCAGCUGUUUAUUUCCCCAGAUGAAUUUAAAAAUCAUUCCAAAUUCAUCAGCAUCUUCUGAGGAGCCCUCCUAACUAGCAACAUGUUCAAUACUCCAAAGCUGCAGUGGAUAGGAAGCAAGAGAAUUGGGAAGGGGGACAGGAUGCAUGAGUUCCGUUUUUCAGCAGUUCCCCUGUCACCCAAGUUCUGAUGGUCUCUCAUAAGCAGUAUCCAACUCAACCCACAUCACAGCCCUGGAUUUCAAUGUAAUCACGGACAACCAAGAGCCCUGAGAGGAUGGAGAGGCACCACUAUGCCCAGCUUCAUCUUCUAGCUCUGGCUCAAGGUAAAGAGUGAGGAAAAAUGCAGGCAGGCUGAGACUUACUCCCUGGAACACAUGGUUGUUUGGAUCAGGCAUCCGUUUCUGAGCCCCUCCUAGUCACGAGAGAUUUCACUUUCCAUGCCCAGUGUUUAGCACCCAUCUAGAGGGCAGAGGACAAUUUAAAAAUGCAUUUGUGAAUUUGAGUAUGUUACUGAACUUCCAUGGACCUCCAUCUGUAAAAUGAGACGCUAAUUAAAGACUCUCAAAGGUCCCUUCCAACUCUUUCUGAGUCAUCGAGGGCUUACCAUAAAAUAAAAUGGAAAACAACAACAACAACAACAAAAAACUAAAGUGAACUCUCCCUUUAAAAAAAAAACAUGGGGGAGCAUUUGCUCUACCUCCGCAUUUAACGUGUGGUCCCUGCCAUCCUGGCACAGCCUGACCACAAUCCCCUUCCCCAUGGGUGGGGCCGGGACAGGAAAUGGCCAAGCACACAGCAUCUUCCCAACCUCCCCUCUGGUGCUCAGUCACUUCAUCUGCUGAGUAUUUAAUUAGAACUGGUGAUGGCUGUUUGGAAAGAGUCAAGGCCAAGAGGGCAGGAAGGCGUCUCCUUGUUCUCGGCUCAGGAGACUCAGAGAAAGCCCAACAGCUGGGACAGGUCUCAGUCUAGGUCAUUCCCCUGCCGGCAGCACUUUGAUGGCUUUUUGUAUUCAUCAAUUCAGACGUUCUCCUGGGGAGGGCCUUGACUUCAGAUGAGGUGGGGCCACUCUCAGCAGGGUCACUGAUUCUCCUCGUCCCAUUCCCGACACGCUUUGCUUUCUGAAGCCUGGAAAUACACGUUUCCAUACCGAGCAAGGCUGCAGCGGUGGCUGCAAGAGGGACCUGGAGAUGUUAGCAAACCCAGGCAGGAAGUAACAAUGAGCAGAUUCAACCUGGAAAAAUGCGGCCUUUGCAUCUGGGGAUAAAUAAUCAGAAACACAAAUACUCAGGUGGGAGGGAGAUGCUUGGAACAGGAAGCAGCCAGACAGCAUUUGGACAGGAGCUUGCAAUGUGAUCUGGUGACAAAGAAAUUGCUGGGGGAUUCAUGAGCUGGAUGCAUGGAGGUGAUACCCCAACAAGAACAAGGAAGGAACAAGGGGGAGGACAAGCAGCUGUUCUUUGCCUCCCUGGAGGCCACCACUAUGUGGACCAAGGGUUUGAGAUGGCAGCAAGAAAGGUUCGGGUCAGACUCUAGAAACAUAGGGAGAUAUUACGUAAGAGCAUGGGCAAGCCCCCUGGGAAGAAGUCUGAAGGACCCUGACAUGCACAGCCUGUCCAGAGCUGGGGGCAUGGAUGAGGUGACCUUCAAGCAUCUGAUGCACACGACUGCAUGAUUCUGCAGAAUACGGUGAGUGGACCUGCUCGGUAGGUGUUGCAGGAGACGAGAGAUGGAGGAACUCAAACCAGCCAAAAAUGGAAUGGAAAUUCAAGAGCUGGGAAAAACCACAUGACCUGUUCUGAGUUGGAGACAAAGCUGGGAAAGGAACUCCUAUUUGCAGAUACACAGAAUCCCUCCUCCUCAGGCCCACAAGGAAGAUAUUUUCCAAUCCUGUUGCUCCAUUGCCUAGGACAUAAGAGCAUCAAAAUGAGGCUCCAGAGACAAUUCCCCAUGUACAUUAGACUCCGAGGGGCCAAUCACACAGAUGCUAUUUGACUUAUUCCUUUGCCAACAUACAGUUGCUCUGGAGGGAUUUCGGUUAGAUCUUAGGAAGAACUUCCUCCUGAGAUUUGAGAUACUGCAUGAGCGAGCAAAAGAGGCAGUUUAUAUUCUCUCUUCCUACAGUCAGUUUAUAGGCUAGAUUACACUCAGAGAUGUAUAGAGAGGAAAUAUCCCCUUCCACUACAGCAUAGUGAGAAAGCUACAGUGCACCUCACUUCGAACAAACUUGAUAUCUGAAAGUCCAGGAUUAAAAAGCAGACCAAUUAGGUUGCUUAUUCACUUUUUUAAAAAACUCACGAUAACAAGCUAUAUUAAUACACUUAAAUUUGGAUGUGAGAUUUAAGAAUGGCAUUCAAAAUAGCUAGGCUGGACAAGAUGGUUCAUGCCUUUAAUCCCAGCACUUUGGGUGGCUGAGGCAGGAGGAUGGCUUGGAGCCAGGAGUUUGCAAUCAGCCUUGGCAAUAUAGUGAGACCCCCAU